UCUACUUUUACCCCUGGACUGAGCCAUGCAUUUGGUGUGGUGCUGCCAUGCCCGAAAGGGCUACCAGAGACUGGUGGCUCUUCCUUCCCUGACUGGAAGGUUGGGAGGAACCCUGCCCAAGCAAAAUGGGGAAAAUAAGCCAAGGGGUGUGGGGAAGUAACACAGGGAAGCUAGCAGCUUUCCUGGGAACUGGCAGUGUGAGGCUGCUACUUGUAGGGUCCCUAGGUUGGGGCCUGGAGUAGAGAGCAGGACUACCCCCUCCCCCUUUCCUCUCACUGGAUGUCCACUGAGGUGUCCCAAAGCCCCAGUGAAGCAGUGAAGGCUUAGCAGGCCCAGAAAUGGGAAGGCCGCUUGGAGACAGAAUUUCCCCACCCACUAUAAAUGGGUGUGGGGUGGGGAGGGGGAAUCUAGGGGCUGAGAGGCUAUCCUGACCCACAAGCACAGGACCCACUGAGGCGGAGAAGAAGCCCUGCUACGGAUGGUAAUCAAAGUGGUGAACUUUUCCACCUAUUUUACCGAACUCUUACUCUGAAGAUAAAGAAAAUAACGGCAUUCACUGUACUCUCAUGAGAGAAACCACAGUAUGAAAAGAGCAGUGGUAUUUUGUGGAGGGCACAGGACCUUCUAUGGCACCAUUUCAUCAUCUUUAAAAAAAAAAAAAACUUACAGAACAAAGAAACCCAGAUCCUGGUGUGGUAUCUAGUCCCAGCAGAAGUCUUGUGAUAGAGAUCAUAUAAUCCUUCACAAAUGACUGCAAGAUUAGAAAGAGAGAGAGAAAAGAAAGUUUAAGUGCACAGAUGAGCAGGUGAUUACAAGUUUGUUUAUUAGGAAUCACAGAAUCAUCGAACUGGAAGGGAUCUCGAGAGGUCAUCUUGUCCAGUCCCCUGCACUCAUGGCAGGACUAAGUAUUAUCUACACCAGAGGUUCUCUAACUGUGGUCUGCAGAUCGCCAGUGGUCCAUGAGCUCCAUUCAGGUGGUCCGUGGAUAGUUACCUCUAAGAUAAAUUACAUUAGGUCCUACUGCUGCUUGUUCCCCCCGCUAUCAGAGGGGAGAGCUAACAGGUUUGAGGCAUUUUCAAGACAUCAGUGACAAAUGAAAUGCCGGCUUUCAAUCCUAGAGAUGUCAUGAACGGUGGGUCAGUGUGGUAAAGAUACUCUGCAAACUUCCAAGUUAAAGAGUCACAUUUGCAUACAGAAUAGCAGUCUGCUGGAACCAAUGUGUCAUUUAUAUGUACUCAUGUUGAAUUUCAUCAUGUUGUCAU